rnacentral:rRNA from 1 species
UACGUAGGGGGCGAGCGUUGUCCGGAUUUAUUGGGCGUAAAGAGCGUGUAGGCGGUUCGGUAAGUCUGUCGUGAAAUCCUGAGGCUCAACCUCGGGCGUGCGAUGGAUACUGCCGGGCUAGAGGGUGGUAGAGGCGAGUGGAAUUCCCGGUGUAGCGGUGAAAUGCGCAGAUAUCGGGAGGAACACCAGUAGCGAAGGCGGCUCGCUGGGCCACACCUGACGCUGAGACGCGAAAGCUAGGGGAGCGAGCAGG